AGUGAACGCUGGCGGCGUGCCUAACACAUGCAAGUCGAACGGAUCUUAAGGGCUUGCUCUUAAGGUUAGUGGCGCACGGGUGAGUAACACGUAGCUAACCUGCCCCAUAGUAAGGGACAACAGUUGGACACGACUGCUAAUACCUUAUACUCCUUCUCUACCUAAGUAGAGUCGGGAAAGUUUUUUCGCUAUGGGAUGGGGCUGCGGCCUAUCAGCUUGUUGGGGAGGUAAUGGCUCACCAAGGCUAUGACGGGUAGCUGGUCUGAGAGGAUGAUCAGCCACAUUGGAACUGAGACACGGUCCAAACUCCUACGGGAGGCAGCAGUGGGGAAUUUUACACAAUGGGCGAAAGCCUGAUGUAGCAACGCCGCGUGGAGGAUGAAGGAUUUAGGUUCGUAAACUCCUUUUAUAAGGGAAGAAGUUUGACGGUACCUUAUGAAUAAGCACCGGCUAACUCCGUGCCAGCAGCCGCCGUAA
rnacentral:rRNA from 1 species